rnacentral:lncRNA from 1 species
CCAGAACAGGACUGGAAGCCUUUCUGUGCACAGCAGCUUUUCUUUCCCAUGAUUGUUUUGUAAUUAUCGUCUUGAUGCUUUCUGAAGUUAAAUAUGUAAUGAAUGGCUGAGUUUCCUUUUCAGAUUUCUACCCAGUACCCCGUGGUGGACCAUGAGUUUGAUGCUGUGGUUGUAGGUGCAGGCGGGGCAGGCUUGCGAGCUGCAUUCGGCCUUUCUGAGGCAGGCUUUAACACGGCAUGCCUUACAAAGCUCUUUCCUACCCGCUCACAUACUGUUGCAGCACAGGGAGGUAUCAAUGCUGCCCUGGGGAACAUGGAAGAGGACAACUGGAGAUGGCAUUUCUAUGACACUGUGAAAGGCUCUGACUGGCUGGGGGAUCAGGAUGCCAUCCAUUACAUGACAGAGCAAGCUCCUGCCUCCGUGG